rnacentral:rRNA from 1 species
AUUGAACGCUGGCUGCAGGCCUAACACAUGCAAGUCGAACGAGUGGCGGACGGGUGAGUAAUGUCUGGGAAACUGCCUGAUGGAGGGGGAUAACUACUGUAAACGGUAGCUAAUACCGCAUACCAUCGGAUGUGCCCAGAUGGGCUUAGCUAGUAGGGGUGGUGAAGGCUCACCUAGGCGACGCUCCCUAGCUGGUCUGGGAGGAUGACCAGCCAAACUGGAACAGAGACACGGUCGAGACUCCUACGGGAGGCAGCAGUGGGGAAUAUUGCCAAAUGGGCGCAAGCCUGAUGCAGCCAUGCCGCGUGGAGGAAGAAGGCCUUAGGGUUGUAAAGUACUUUCAGCGGGGAGGAGUUACCCGCAGAAGAAGCACCGGCUAACUCCGUGCCAGAAGCCGCGGUAAUAC